rnacentral:rRNA from 1 species
UGGGAAUUUGGACAAUGGGCGAAAGCCUGAUCCAGCAAUGCCGCGUGUGUGAAGAAGGCCUUCGGGUUGUAAAGCACUUUUGUCCGGAAAGAAAUCCUUGGCUCUAAUACAGUCGGGGGAUGACGGUACCGGAAGAAUAAGCACCGGCUAACUACGUGCCAGCAGCCGCGGUAAUACGUAGGGUGCAAGCGUUAAUCGGAAUUACUGGGCGUAAAGCGUGCGCAGGCGGUUUGCUAAGACCGAUGUGAAAUCCCCGGGCUCAACCUGGGAACUGCAUUGGUGACUGGCAGGCUAGAGUAUGGCAGAGGGGGGUAGAAUUCCACGUGUAGCAGUGAAAUGCGUAGAGAUGUGGAGGAAUACCGAUGGCGAAGGCAGCCCCCUGGGCCAAUACUGACGCUCAUGCACGAAAGCGUGGGGAGCAAACAGGAUUAGAUACCCUGGUAGUCCACGCCCUAAACGAUGCCAACUAGUUGUUGGGGAUUCAUUUCCUUAGUAACGUAGCUAACGCGUGAAGUUGACCGCCUGGGGAGUACGGUCGCAAGAUUAAAACUCAAAUGAAUUGACGGGGUCAUAGCUGUUUCCU